CGCGUGGCGGCCAUGGCGGCGAGCGGGGCCGUGGAGCCGGGGCGCCCGGCGGCUACUGCCGCCCCCUCGGCCGCCCCGGCGCGGGCUCCGGCCCCCGAGCGCUUGUUCCGGCCUAUCAGCGCCGAGGACGAGGAGCAGCAGCCCACCGAGAUCGAGUCGCUUUGCAUGAACUGUUACCGCAACGGCAUGACGCGCCUCCUGCUCACCAAGAUCCCCUUCUUCAGAGAGGUGAUCGUGAGCUCCUUCUCCUGUGAGCACUGCGGCUGGAACAACACGGAGAUCCAGUCGGCAGGCAGGAUCCAGGACCAGGGAGUGCGCUACACUUUGACCGUCGGGGCCCAGGAGGACAUGAACAGACAAGUGGUGAAAACGGACUCUGCCACCACAAGGAUCCCGGAGCUGGAUUUUGAAAUUCCUGCCUUCAGUCAGAAGGGAGCUCUGACCACUGUUGAAGGAUUGAUCAGCCGUGCCAUCUCCGGCCUGGAGCAGGAUCAGCCCGCACGAAGGGCAAAUGAAGAGCCCGUAGCUGAAAGAAUUGAUGAGUUCAUUGUCAAACUGAAAGAGCUAAAGCAAGUGGCCUCUCCUUUCACUCUGAUCAUUGAUGAUCCUUCAGGGAACAGCUUUGUGGAAAACCCCCACGCUCCCCAGAAAGAUCUUGCCCUGAUCAUCACGCACUAUAAUCGGACUCUACAGCAGGAAGAGAUGCUCGGGCUUCAGGCCGAGGCAGCACCAGAAGAGAAGCCAGAGGAGGAGGAUCUCAGAAAUGAAGUGCUGCAAUUCAACACAAACUGUCCAGAAUGCAACGCUCCGGCUCAAACCAACAUGAAGCUAGUUCAAAUCCCACACUUUAAGGAGGUUAUCAUCAUGGCUACCAACUGUGAGAACUGCGGCCAUCGAACCAAUGAGGUGAAGUCUGGAGGAGCAAUAGAGCCCUUGGGCACCCGGAUCAGCUUCCAUAUCACAGAUCUCUCAGAUCUGACCAGAGAUGUGCUCAAGUCUGAGACGUGUAGUGUGGAAAUCCCAGAGCUGGAAUUUGAACUGGGAAUGGCUGUCCUUGGGGGCAAGUUCACCACACUAGAGGGGCUACUGAAAGACAUCCAGGAACUGGUGACCAAGAACCCUUUCACACUGGGUGACAGUUCCAAUCCUGGCCAGAUGGAGAAACUGCAGGAGUUCAGCCAGAAGUUAGACCAGAUUCCCAUCAGCGGGUGUUCUGUUUCCUGGCCCGAGGAGGAUGACUUGGCUGCCAGUAUCCUGAUUGCUGAGUGUGGGAAGAGGAACUGGGAGUAUUCUUCAAGGUAACAUGAAAGCCCACUUUAUUAUGAAUGAUCCAGCAGGAAACAGCUACCUUCAGAAUGUGUAUGCACCUGAAGAUGAUCCUCAGAUGAAGGUGGAGCAUUAUAAGCGCACAUUUGACCAAAACGAGGAGCUAGGGCUCAAUGACAUGAAGACAGAGGGCUAUGACACAGGCCCAGCCCCACAGCGGUAGCGCUGGGUAAUUCACAAGCCAGCCUCUAGUGCUGCUCAGACUGAAGGAUUAUUUAUUACUGUCGAGAAAAGCUGGGGGUGUCCUCCCCACCAGGCCUUGCCCAUGUAUGGAGGUCACCUGGUCAAUUGGUCAGAUGUGGGCAAUUUUCUGAAUGGUUUGUGAUGGAAGUGCAAACCUGUUGGUUUCCUUUCCUGUAUUUUGGAGGUUUUGAAUUGGCCUGGGAAGAAACCCAGAAAUGAACCAUGAGGGCAUGUUAUUAUCACUUUUUUCCCAUCAAGUCUUUACCUUCCGUCCAGAUAAUUCUUUCUGUAUACAGUUGGAACUCUGAAGAUGGAAGACAGCAACAUCUGGAGUUUGGGAGUUGCUUGGGGGAAAAAAAACACUGGCUUUCAACAGGAAGAGUCUUCUGAGGGGAGGCAGCCCAGCGCAAGAGAAGUUCUCAUUAAAGUGAUGGCCUUUCAACAGGACUGGCCUCUGAAUUCACUCUGUCCUCGUUUGAUACCAUGCUAGUAGAAUUCAACCUCCUGAAUAAAUUUUCACCAACUUGGGGGUGGGAGCUGACAUUUCAUUCCUUCAGUAGAUAUUUGCUUACUUUGUGCCAGGCACACCACGGAACUGAACUGAGCCCUGUGUUCAUGGAAUUUAAAGUGAACUUUUGAGGUCAAAUCCAAAAUUCCUGCAUUUGCUUUAUUAGAUGCAGCUAAUAAACAGAGGGCAGAACUCAGA